GACCGCGUAGCUCAGUUGGCAGAGCAUUGUGCUAGUAUUCCAAAGGUCGUAGGUUCGAAUCCCACCGUGGCCA